AGGAUUAACGUUGGCGGCGUGCAUAACGCAUGCAAGUUGAGCGUGGCACUAGUUUACUAGUGUCUAGCAGCGAACGGCUGAGUAAUGCACAGGAACGUACCUCGAAGUGGGGAAUAGCCCUUCGAAAGAAGGGGUAAUACCGCAUGUGCUCGCAAGAGUAAAGCCGCAAGGCGCUUUGAGAACGGCCUGUGUCCUAUCAGGUUGUUGGUGAGGUAACGGCUCACCAAGGCGACGACGGGUAGCCGGCCUGAGAGGGCGACCGGCCACACUGGGACUGAGACACGGCCCAGACUCCUACGGGAGGCAGCAGUGGGGAAUAUUGCGCAAUGGGCGAAAGCCUGACGCAGCGACGCCGCGUGGGGGAUGAAGGCCUUCGGGUUGUAAACCCCUUUCAGCAGGGACGAAGCGAAAGUGACGGUACCUGCAGAAGAAGCGCCGGCUAACUACGCGCCAGCAGCCGC
rnacentral:rRNA from 1 species